rnacentral:lncRNA from 1 species
GUGCGGAUGAAUACUCUCUGCUUCUCGUGUAGCUUUAAAUUGUGGACAAACGCUUGCGAUUGUGAGCUCCCUACAACGGGCUGCCUCUGCGCAGGCUUCAUCAGCCAGGGCUGUCCAAUGGGAUUACCGUAAGCCUCCACGGCAGUCUGCCGGGCGCUGAUGAGCACUCCUCCCCCUGCACACUCUGUUAUUACCACUGGAUGCCACAAUCCUCUUGGAGAGAUAAGGAAAAUUCUGUUUUUUUUCAUAUAACUUCAUUGGAGCUUUUGCUGCUGAAAAAUGUAAGAACUUCCAAUUACAUUUUCAGAAAAAUUCAUCAUUUAUAAAAUUAUAUGCAGUUAAUUUAUAUAUAA